UUCUAAUAUGGCAGAUUAGUGCAUUGGAUUUAAACCCCAAAGAUAAAGAUAUCCUCUUUUUUUAGAA
rnacentral:tRNA from 1 species